AUUGAACGCUGGCGGCAGGCCUAACACAUGCAAGUCGAGCGAGCGGCGGACGGGUGAGUAAUGCUUGGGAAUCUGCCUGUUGGUGGGGGAUAACAUCUCGAAACGGUUGCUAAUACCGCAUACUAUUAGAUGUGCCUAGGUGGGAUUAGCUAGUGGGUGGGGUAAUGGCCUACCUAGGCGACGAUCCGUAGCGGGUCUGAGAGGAUGAUCCGCCACACGGGAACUGAGACACGGACCAGACUCCUACGGGAGGCAGCAGUGGGGAAUAUUGCACAAUGGGCGCAAGCCUGAUGCAGCCAUGCCGCGUGUGUGAAGAAGGCCUUCGGGUUGUAAAGCACUUUCAGCGGGGAGGCGUUAACCGCAGAAGAAGCACCGGCUAACUCCGUGCCAGCAGCCGCGGUAAUAC
rnacentral:rRNA from 1 species